UGACGGGGGCCCGCACAAGCGGUGGAGCAUGUGGUUUAAUUCGAUGCAACGCGAAGAACCUUACCUGGUCUUGACAUCCACAGAACUUUCCAGAGAUGGAUUGGUGCCUUCGGGAACUGUGAGACAGGUGCUGCAUGGCUGUCGUCAGCUCGUGUUGUGAAAUGUUGGGUUAAGUCCCGCAACGAGCGCAACCCUUAUCCUUUGUUGCCAGCGGUCCGGCCGGGAACUCAAAGGAGACUGCCAGUGAUAAACUGGAGGAAGGUGGGGAUGACGUCAAGUCAUCAUGGCCCUUACGACCAGGGCUACACACGUGCUACAAUGGCAUAUACAAAGAGAAGCGACCUCGCGAGAGCAAGCGGACCUCAUAAAGUAUGUCGUAGUCCGGAUUGGAGUCUGCAACUCGACUCCAUGAAGUCGGAAUCGCUAGUAAUCGUAGAUCAGAAUGCUACGGUGAAUACGUUCCCGGGCCUUGUACACACCGCCCGUCACACCAUGGGAGUGGGUUGCAAAAGAAGUAGGUAGCUUAACCUUCGGGAGGGCGCUUACCACUUUGUGAUUCAUGACUGGGGUGAAGUCGUAACAAGGUAACC
rnacentral:rRNA from 1 species